rnacentral:tRNA from 1 species
GGUGUAGCGCAGCUUGGUAGCGCGACUGGUUUGGGACCAGUAGGUCGCAGGUUCGAAUCCUGUCACC